UAGCCGUAGACGAUACUCGCUAGGUGUCGGCCACGGUGCGACCGUUGUCGGUGCCGUAGGGAAGCCGUGAAGCGAGCCACCUGGGAAGUACGGCCGCAAGGCUGAAACUUAAAGGAAUUGGCGGGGGAGCACAACAACGGGUGGAGCUUGCGGUUUAAUUGGAUUCAACGCCGGAAAUCUUACCGGGACCGACAGCAACAUGAAGGCCAAGCUGAAGACUUUGCCGGAUUAGCUGAGAGGAGGUGCAUGGCGUAGUCGUGU
rnacentral:rRNA from 1 species